rnacentral:rRNA from 1 species
AGGGUUCGAUUCUGGCUCAGGAUGAACGCUAGCUACAGGCUUAACACAUGCAAGUCGAGGGGCAGCAUGAAAGUUGCUUGCAACUUUGAUGGCGACCGGCGCACGGGUGAGUAACGCGUAUCCAACCUUCCCUAUACUAGAGGAUAGCCCGGCGAAAGUCGGAUUAAUACUCUAUGUUGUUCGAUGCGGACAUCUAAGUUGAACCAAAGGUUUACCGGUAUAGGAUGGGGAUGCGUCUGAUUAGGUUGUUGGCGGGGUAACGGCCCACCAAGCCCACGAUCAGUAGGGGUUCUGAGAGGAAGGUCCCCCACAUUGGUACUGAGACACGGACCAAACUCCUACGGGAGGCAGCAGUGAGGAAUAUUGGUCAAUGGGCGAGAGCCUGAACCAGCCAAGUAAGCGUGCAGGACGACGGCCCUAUGGGUUGUAAACUGCUUUUGCCGGGGAAUAAAGUGCAGUACGUGUACUGUUUUGUAUGUACCCGGAGAAUAAGGACCGGCUAAUUCCGUGCCAGCAGCGGC